rnacentral:lncRNA from 1 species
GCAGCAGAUCUUUCAAGCGGAGUACAAGCCAUAGCAUGUCUGAUCAAGAAUCACAAUCAGUUCUUGCCAGAGAUGUAGAAAUCGAAUGAUGUAGAAUAGGAUGUCGAUCAAGAAUCACAAUCAGUUCUUGCCAGAGAUGUAGAAAUCGAAUGGUGUAGGACUAGGAUGUCGAUAUUUGUCCAUAGUUGUCAGAUUUUGGACAUAAAUGCAACGGCCGGCCGCCUUUGUUCAUUCAUUUCGAGUUAAUGUUUCCAAAUGUUUGGUUAACAAGCAAAAGU